GCGCCCGUAGCUCAGUCCGGAUAGAGCACUUGACUACGGAUCAAGGGGCCGGGGGUUCAAAUCCUCCCGGGCGCGCCA
rnacentral:tRNA from 1 species